GACGAACGCUGGCGGCGUGCCUAAUACAUGCAAGUAGAACGCUGAAGGAGGAGCUUGCUUCUCUGGAUGAGUUGCGAACGGGUGAGUAACGCGUAGGUAACCUGCCUGGUAGCGGGGGAUAACUAUUGGAAACGAUAGCUAAUACCGCAUAAGGGUAGAUGUUGCAUGACAUUUGCUUAAAAGGUGCAAUUGCAUCACUACCAGAUGGACCUGCGUUGUAUUAGCUAGUUGGUGGGGUAACGGCUCACCAAGGCGACGAUACAUAGCCGACCUGAGAGGGUGAUCGGCCACACUGGGACUGAGACACGGCCCAGACUCCUACGGGAGGCAGCAGUAGGGAAUCUUCGGCAAUGGACGGAAGUCUGACCGAGCAACGCCGCGUGAGUGAAGAAGGUUUUCGGAUCGUAAAGCUCUGUUGUAAGAGAAGAACGAGUGUGAGAGUGGAAAGUUCACACUGUGACGGUAUCUUACCAGAAAGAGACGGCUAACUACGUG
rnacentral:rRNA from 1 species